rnacentral:rRNA from 1 species
GAUGAACGCUGGCGGCGUGCUUAACACAUGCAAGUCGAACGGACCUUUGAUGAAGCCUAGCGAUUUAAAGGUUAGUGGCGGACGGGUGAGUAACGCGUGGGUAACCUGCCUUAUACAGGGGGAUAACACUUAGAAAUAGGUGCUAAUACCGCAUAAGCGCACAGUAUCGCAUGAUACAGUGUGAAAAACUCCGGUGGUAUAAGAUGGACCCGCGUCUGAUUAGCUAGUUGGUGAGGUAACGGCUCACCAAGGCGACGAUCAGUAGCCGGCCUGAGAGGGUGAACGGCCACAUUGGGACUGAGACACGGCCCAAACUCCUACGGGAGGCAGCAGUGGGGAAUAUUGCACAAUGGGGGAAACCCUGAUGCAGCGACGCCGCGUGAGUGAAGAAGUAUCUCGGUAUGUAAAGCUCUAUCAGCAAGGAGAAAAUGACGGUACUUGACUAAGAAGCCCCGGCUAACUACGUG